rnacentral:rRNA from 1 species
UACGGAGGGUGCAAGCGUUAUCCGGAUUCACUGGGUUUAAAGGGUGCGUAGGCGGUCUUGUAAGUCAGUGCUGAAAUAUCCCGGCUUAACCGGGAGGGUGGCAUUGAUACUGCAGGACUUGAGUGAAGUCGAGGUAGGCGGAAUUGACGGUGUAGCGGUGAAAUGCUUAGAUAUCGUCAAGAACACCGAUAGUGAAGACAGCUUACUAGACUUCAACUGACGCUGAGGCACGAAAGUGUGGGGAUCAAACAGG